UGCAACUAAAUUUUUUGAAUCUGAUGUGUGCAGAUCCAUAUAGUGAUAUGAUACUGGUUGAUGGUAUAACUCUCCUUUGCAAUGAUAUUCAGGUGGAUCCGCAAGAUAUCGUUAUGUCAGUUGUUGCAUGGCACAUGAAAGCUGCUACCAUGUGUGAAUUUUCCAAGCAGGAGUUUAUAGGUGGAUUACAAGGGCUAGGGGUCAGAAAUCUGUAACAUUGGAUAUAGUUAUUGGAAUGUGGCAAUUACUGUUUGCUGAAAAGAAGUGGCCAUUGGUUGAUCAUUGGUGCGAGUUCUUACAGGUAGCUUACCAUCCAUAUUUUGAUCUAAUGAGACUAAGUAGUGAAUUCUUGUGACCUAUGCUGAAAAGAAUUAUGUAGUUGGCAUCAUGUUGGGAUUAAGACAUUGUUAAGUGAGUUGCAAUAGGAAGUGAGAAGAAUUAUAUUGCUAAUUAUGUAUUUAUGUUUGUUAUUAAUUCAACCUUGAUGCCCUCUGGGGAUCUAUCUUCAGGUCUCUGUGAUGUUAUAAACAGCACAUAGGCAUCUAUGUCAUUGUUAGAUUUGUUUGUCUGUGUUUGUUUUUGUGUUGUUUUCAUCUUCUUUCAUUUUUCCCUUACCCCCCAAAAGGAUUCACUCAUUGUGAGACAAAAUGCCUGGGGGUUUUGGCAAAAAUCCUACCAACCACCAUGUCAACAUUGUUGGUAACUGCUAUUGUCAAUCAGGUUGGUGAAAUUUUGUCAAUGGUGGAAUGUGAUGGUUGGUGGGUGAACAGCUCUACACCUAGGCUCAUUGGCUAAUUUGCCUUCAUAAAUUAUUUAAUCCAAAAAUAGCUUGGUGGUUGGUUGUGUGAUUGGACUUUUUGUGAUUCUUGGUUUAGUUAGGCACCAGUGGUUAAUGCAUAUGACCUAUCUAAGCACAUGAUAAUAGAUAUACCUUUAGGUGCAGGCUUUAUUUUUCAUAAUGAUUACCUUGUGAAAUUUU